AUGGAUGGAUGGGGCGCACCAGUUCCGGCGACGGCGGCGCCGGAUCCGCACCCACCUGCGCGAUGGAGGCCGGCCGCAUCGGGAUCCACCGCCUGCUCUCGGUCUGGUGCGGCACACCGGACCACACCUAAGAUUGCUACUGCGGUGGCCGUCGACGACGGCGCAUCUCCGACGGGACCUAGAUGCCCAAGGGCAUGCAUCCGUGGUUGGUGA
rnacentral:rRNA from 1 species